ACAUUGCUUAAAGUUAUAAUUUUUAGUAACGCCUGCUCAAUGUAACUACAAUUAUAAAUAGCCGCAGAAAUUUACUGUGCUAAGGUAGCAUAAUCAUUUGCCUAUUAAUUAUAGGCUUGAAUGAAAGGCAUCACAUUUAUAUUCUUUUUUAAAUAUUUAAUUUAUAAUUUAUAUUAAAUAUAAAAAUAUAUUUAUUCCUAAAUCAGACGAAAAGACCCUAUCGAACUUUACUUUAGUUACGCUGGGGCAGCUAAUUAAUAAAAAUUUUAAUCAAAAUACUUCUAUAAAUGACCCAAUUUAACUGAACAUUUGAAUAAGCUACCGUAGGGAUAACAGCGUAAUUUAUUUCUAAAGUUCUUAUUAAAAAAUUUUGUUACGACCUCGAUGUUGAAUUAUUUUCCUUUUGAACGAAAAAGUUUAAAAAGUAGGUCUGUUCGACCUUUAAAAUUUUACAUGAUC
rnacentral:rRNA from 1 species